rnacentral:rRNA from 1 species
AAUCAACGCUGGCGGCGUGCCUCAGACAUGCAAGUCGAACGCGAAAGUUUCCUUCGGGAGACAAGUAGAGUGGCGCACGGGUGAGUAACACGUAGGUAAUCUACCUUUGGAUGGGGAAUAACAACCGGAAACGGUUGCUAAUACCGCAUAAUGCAGCGGCACCUAAUGGUGACAGUUGUUAAAGCGGGGAUCGAAAGACCUCGCGUCUGAAGAGGAGCCUGCGGCGGAUUAGCUAGUUGGUAAGGUAAUGGCUUACCAAGGCUACGAUCCGUAACCGGCCUGAGAGGGGCGGUCGGUCACACUGACACUGACAUACGGGUCAGACUCCUACGGAGGCAGCAGUCGGGAAUUUUGGGCAAUGGGCGAAAGCCUGACCCAGCAACGCCGCGUGAAGG